CAAUAGCGUAUAUUAAAGUUGUUGCAGUUAAAAAGCUCGUAGUUGGAUUUCUGUUCUUGGGAUCUGGUCCGCCUCACGGUGAGCACUGGAUAACUGGGGACAUCCUCUCGAAGGCGGCAGGUGCACUUGAUUGUGUGUUUGUUGAAUUCGGGACCUUUACUUUGAAAAAAUUAGAGUGUUCAAAGCAGGCGUCGGCUUGAAUACAUUAGCAUGGAAUAAUGGAAUAGGACUCUGGUUCUAUUUUGUUGGCUUCUAGGACCGAAGUAAUGAUUAAUAGGGACAGUUGGGGGCAUUAGUAUUUAAUUGUCAGAGGUGAAAUUCUUGGAUUUAUGAAAGACUAACUACUGCGAAAGCAUUUGCCAAGGAUGUUUUCAUUAA
rnacentral:rRNA from 1 species